rnacentral:rRNA from 1 species
GAUGAACGCUGGCGGUAUGCUUAACACAUGCAAGUCGAACGGACUCUUCGGGGUUAGUGGCGGACGGGUGAGUAACGCGUGAGAAUCUGGCUUUGGGUUCGGGACAACCACUGGAAACGGUGGCUAAUACCGGAUGUGCUGAGAGGUAAAAGAAGAGUUGGCUGAAGAUGAGCUCGCGUCUGAUUAGCUAGUUGGUGAGGUAAAGGCGCACCAAGGCAGCGAUCAGUUGCUGGCCUGAGAGGAUGAACAGCCACACGGGGACUGAGACACAGCAGAGACACCUACGGGAGGCAGGAGGGGAGAAUUUUCCGAAAUGGGCGAGUGUGUGACGGAGCAAUACCGCGUGUGAAAAGAAGGAUCUUGGGUUGUAAACCUCUUUUCUUAGAGAAGAACAAAAUGACGGUACCUAAGGAAUAAGCACCGGCUAACUCCGUG